AUGGGCCCAGGGACAUCCGUAGAGAUACAAAGGUGCUCGUUUAUAAAGCCGUUGUCCUCCCAACGUUACGCCUGCGAAACGUGGACUGUCUACAGACGUCACACCAAACUCCUGGAGCGUUUCCAUCAGCGUUGCCUCAGGAAAAUCCUGCAAAUCUCUUGGGAAGACAGGCGGACAAAUGUCAGCGUGCUGGAAGAAGCAAAGACCACCAGCAUUGAAGCGAUGCUCCUACGCCAUCAACUCCACUGGACUGGCCACGUUGUCCAAAUGCCCAAUCACCGUCUCCCAAAGCAGUUACUUUACUCCAAACUCAAAAACGGGAAACGUAAUGUUGGUGGGCAGGAAAAGAGAUUUAAAGAUGGGCUUAAAGCCAACCUUAAAAACUGUGGCAUAGACACUGAGAACUGGGAAGCCCUGGCCCUUGAGCGCUCUAAUUGGAGGUCAGCUGUGACCAGCAGUGCUGCGGAGUUCGAAGAGGCACGAAUGGAGGACUUAAGGGAGAAACGUGCCAAGAGGAAGACCCGUCAAGCCAACCCUGACCGGGACCGCCUUCCACCUGGAAACCGAUGUCCUCACUGCGGGAGAACAUGCAGAUCAAGAAUAGGUCUCUUCAGCCACCUAAGAACCCAUCCUCAAGACUCCAAAACUGGAAGACCAUCAUCCUCGAACUACGAGGUAUCGCCUAAGUAAGAAGUAAGUAUUCUAUAUUCUGAUUCACAUAUGGGCUCUAAUUUUACAUUUAGUUUUAUUUUAUUCUUUUAUCUUUGGAAAUCCAUAUGAUGUGCUUUCUCGAGCAUACUUAGGCGAUCCCUCGUAGUUCGACCAUAAAUCUGUUUUAAUAUAUCAGCAUAGAAUUGACUCUUGCGUACCUUCAAAAUCUGAAUCUUUUGAAUCAGCUAUGAACUGGAAUGCUUUAUUAUGCCUAAAUGAUGAGGGGAAGUAUUAAUGAGAAGUAUUACUUAUUAACUACUCAUCUGAAGCGAUGGCAAAUUACUUUGACUAUGAGCAGGAAAUGCUGAGAGUGCAACUUUUGGAUUUCCCCCAGUCUUUGAAAUAUUUAAGAGAAAACCCACCAGUUAAUUCCUGCCAACAGUGUAGAUCAUUUAUUUUAUAGAUUGAUCUUAUUUUUUAUUUUCAUAAUUUGUAGCAAAAUUAAUAACAGUGAUUAUCAGGUGAUUAUUUUUUGCCUUCCAAGAUUUUCUACUGGUUGCCUUAGCUAUUACUACACCAAUAUCCAUAGAUGGCACAAUUGUCUACUAGACCGAAAUUUUUGUAAAAAUUCCUGUUAUCAGAGAGACGAGCAAAGUAUGAAAUAUAUUUUGAAAUAUUUUGGCAUUUUAAAAUUUCAGCAAUAUGGAUGAGCAAUCUCUAGGCUUUUCCAAGGUCUGCUGUAUAAACAAUAUUUUUAAAGGAAUUAAAUAUUAAAAAAGCCAUGUUUUUUGUCCACUGGCCCAUCUGGGAGUUUUCUCAUUUGCAUUCCCAUUUAUCAUGCACUCAGAUUUGUGGGUAAGACCCCACUUAGUUUAGUAUCCUGGCAGAUUCCUCAGAGGGUCUGCUCCCUCCAGUCUUUUCUUACUGCCUGCACUUGAUUGUAUCUUGUUUAAGAUCAGAAGAGUACAGAGACAAGCGUUGCCUAAAAUAGUAUUACAUGACUGAAUGUUCUGAAUGAGCCUUUCUGAUCCUCAAGGCCCUCCUUUUUACCAAGGGCUUGUAUUUAUUCCUCUCUGAUUUAACAAACCCAACAUUUGAAUUUCCUUUCUUGCUCUCAACUGUCUCUAUAUAUUUUCCUCCGUCCAUCCAUCUUCCAGAACUGAUUUACUUAUUUAUUCUUUAGACCUCUUACUUCCUAUAUUUAGAAUUCCAGCCGAGUUCUAUCUGUUCUGGACUCCUAGAGAUGCACUAACGCCUGUAGAAUUUAAAUCAUGCUGUUUGUUAUUUUUAGGAUGCAUAACACAAAAUACCCUGUGCCUAUUGUCCUGACGUUCAGCAGAUAUCCUUUCUAAAUUAAACCUGCUAAUUUAACCAGAAGUAGCAAAGAAAGAAAAGUUAUCACAAUUUUUCUGUUCUUCAGGAUAGUCAAUGGAAGGAACUGAAGCUCAACUUUUCGAAUCUCGGCUCAGAUUUAGAACCUAAACUGACCUUACCUAUCAGAGCACAGUAUGAUCAUUUAUAAAAACACCAAAUUAAGAUACAUGCCCAGUCUGAAGGCAAAUAUGCAUUUCUAGUCUGUAUCUGCUAUGAAGGUCAGUGGAAAUCAAACAGAAAGAGCAUGAAUGACAUUCUUUGAGGUUGGGAUGGAAUUAUUUCAAAGUUUCACUCAGUUUUGGGCUGUUCAAAAUAAGCAAAUGUGCCCAAAAUAUUUUUAAAGAGUUAUAAAUAAUGACCUGCCUUUUUCUAUUAAUGAGAUCAGUACGUUGAUAUUACUUUAAAAAAUGGAUUUUAAUGCCUAAUCCACCUCUCUAAGUUGUGAGAUUUCUUUCUGUGUGGGGUGGGGAGAAGAUAAUGGCUAUUUUAGGUUUGUUUUGGAGGAUGCCAGAGGAAGGUUAUUGGUAUUUUAUAAUAAUCUAUUUGAAUGAUAAAUAAGUGAUAUAAUAAAAUGAGAUCAAAUAUGCCCAGAUAUGUUGAGCAUGAAUAUAGACAUACAUUUUAAAAUAUCUUCCAAUCACAAAAUCUAUCAAUGGAAAGGAAAGUUGAAAUCCAAUGCUCCUAUAUGUGAUUUCUUAGGAGCUGGCCAGCACCAUAAAAUCCUUACGGAGCGCAAAUGUCAUGUGUGGAAUGAUAUAGCUGAAAUAAAUCCUGUAGUUCAUCUAAACCACCCACUGCUCAAUGCCAGAACUGCACUGCAGAUACAACAUUCCUAACAGAUGGCUGGUCAUAGCUCUCCCAGUUCUGCUCUCUAGAGCAACAGCAAACAAAUUUGCUUCAUCAUCCGUCUGUGUGAACCUUUCAGAUGCUGAAGAGAAUUACUAUGUUUCCUCUUAAUCUCAUUCCCUCCACUUUUGACAUACCCAAAUCUUUCAGUCAUGCCCCAUAAAGCUUGGGAAACCUGGAAACCACCUGGGUUGCCUUCUCCUGGAAAAGUCAAAUGAUUGCAAUAUGGUCAAUAGUACAGAUUAGAACAAAAUUCCCCUGGAUGUAGACAAUACUUACAUGUUAAUACAGAUGAAGAAUGCAUUUCUUGUCUCCCUUUUUGGGGGCAGUUGCUUCAUAGUGCUGACAAAUAAUUUGUGAUACACUAGAACUAGUUUACUUCAGCUGCUACCAGGUCAGUUUGGGAGGAAAGGAAUGACAAAUCUCUGAAUAAAUGUUGUUAGGGAAGCCCUAAGUGGAAACGACUUGAAGGCAGUAUUUAUAGGAUGCAGAAUAAUAUCUUAGGCCCCCCUCUACAGUGCCAUAUAAAAUCCAGAUUAUCUGCUUUGAAUUGGAUUAUAUUAGUCUACACUGCCAUAAAAUCUAGUUCAAAGCAGAUAAUCUGGAUUUUAUAUGGCAGUGUAGAAGGAGCCUUAGAGUGUAUAUUACAAAUUUUCUGUGAAAACAACAACCUCUGCUGUUCAUAAUUGGAACUACAGAAGGAAUGAAAAACGUUAUGUUAAUACAGUAGCUAUUUUAUACCAGAGCAUGGAUCCACUUUAAAUCCGGUUUCUGCCUCCUGCAGAAUUCUGGGGUUUGCAGUUUGGUAAGGCCCAGGACCUGUCUGGCUGACCUGUUUAAACCCCUAAAGUGGAUUUAAAGUGGACCCAAACUCUAGUAUGAUGAGGUCCUAUGAAGGGGGAAAUAGAAUCUCUUAAUAAAAGAAUAUUUGCUUGAGUGUAUGUAUGCAUAUAAAUAAUAAAUCUAGAGUGAAGUAAAAUCAUAGGGGAAUGAUCAUGAAGCCUAUGGAUUAGUUUUCUCAGAUCCACUGAACAACCCAUUUAAUCCCAUGUCUGUGAUCAUUCUGAGUAACGGUUUGUCUCUUUUCAGUGGCAUUGCAGGAAGACGACUAAAUGACCAGCCAGAAAGUGGUAGGUGAGGGGACAGCAAGGCAGCAGCUCACUUCCUUUUUACUUUUCAAAAUAUUCUAUACAGUGUUCCCUCACUUAUUGCGGGGGUUAGGUUCCAGGACCACCCACAAUAAGUGAAAAUCCGUGAAGUAGGGACACUAUAUUUAUGUUAAUAUUUAUACAUUAUUUUAGUAGUUAUACACUAUUUUAAGUCUUUAUCAACCAAUCAUGUGUUGAUAAAUCGCCUCCUUCUCCUCCUGUUGCCACUUGGGCUCCUUUUCUCUCCCUUUAGCUUCUCCUUCCUCCCUUUCUUAGGCUGAAAAUUGUAAUUUUUUAUGAUUUAUAAUAGUCUUUUAGAGUUUAUUGAAAAACCACAAAACAGCAAAUCCGCGAAAAGUGAACCGUGAAGUAGUGAGGGAACACUGUAGUCUUGUUCCAACCAGCCAAGCACAGAUGUGUUUACAAAUAAUCUUUUACUUGAAAUGUAUAUUAUCUUUUUCAUUAAUAAAACAAUUUUGCUAAUUCUAUAUAUGUUCUACUUUUGCAUCAAGUCCCUAGUCUACUGAAUUUCUGUAGUCACCAUAGUAAUUGUAAUACAUUUAAAAUCUGAAACUAUGUGUUCGAAGCACAGGCAGCCCCCAAGUUACGAACACGAUAGGUUCUAUGGGUUUGUUAAGUUGAAUUUGUUUAUAAGUCAAAAUAGGUACAUUUUAAAAGUGUAACUCCAGACAUGGAUAGCAUAGGGACGGGUUAACACCUCCAUGGUGUUUUUUGUUGCUGUCUGUGCCCCCUGUGCAGAAGAUUUCACCUCACUUCCUGUCUCUGUGAUAAUUGGAUUUUGAAAAAAAUGGUGUGUUGUGGAAACAAGGAUUGAUGAUAAAGCUUCAGUGGAGACACAUUUUCCUCAUGAUAACUCUUUCAGGUGUGAAUUUACCUUCCAAGAGGUAGAUUUAUCUCACUCCCUGUUGUCUAACCCCUGUUCUUAACCAUGAGUCAUUUUAAAUAGGAUGUUUGUAACUUGGGGACUGCCUGUAUUUCUUAUAUAUAAAAUGUUAACAAAAUGACUUUUCUUGUUUCCUCUGGCACAGUGCUACUUAAACUGAUUGUUCUGGUACUGGUCCUUGAACCUUUGGCUGCCAGUUUCUAAUGGGUUUCCAAGAAAGUUGAGAAAAAAAAUUAUAGUCAGUGGGCACACAUACAGUACAGGUCACAUACACAUUCUUCCCAAAAGUCUUUAAUAUUUUAUUACCCUUUGUUUAAGAAGGGAGCACCACGAGGCUUCUCUGCCUCAAGAUGCCUUGCACACAGACAUGAAAGUCAGCAUUAGGGACUCUUCUACCAAAGUAAGAUUUCUUUUGUCUAUCUGCUCAUUUAUUUGAGAUGUAUUACCUGUAAUAAUAAAUAAAGUUUUUAAC
rnacentral:lncRNA from 11 species